AACGCGAAGAACCUUACCAGCCCUUGACAUGUCCCGUAUGGGGCCGAGAGAUCGGCUUCUUCAGUUCGGCUGGCGGGAACACAGGUGCUGCAUGGCUGUCGUCAGCUCGUGUCGUGAAAUGUUGGGUUAAGUCCCGCAACGAGCGCAACCCUUAUCCUUUGUUGCCAGCACGUCAUGGUGGGAACUCAGGGGAGACUGCCGGUGACAAACCGGAGGAAGGUGGGGAUGACGUCAAGUCAUCAUGGCCCUUACGACCAGGGCUACACACGUGCUACAAUGGCAGAUACAAAGUGAAGCGAGCUCGCGAGAGUAAGCGGACCACAUAAAGUCUGUCGUAGUCCGGAUUGGAGUCUGCAACUCGACUCCAUGAAGUCGGAAUCGCUAGUAAUCGUGGAUCAGAAUGCCACGGUGAAUACGUUCCCGGGCCUUGUACACACCGCUAGUC
rnacentral:rRNA from 1 species